rnacentral:lncRNA from 1 species
UCAUCAGUGGGUGAGUGACAGUGUAAUGUGUUUUUUUUUUCUUUUUUUUUCCCAGGAGAGCCUGUUGAGUUAAAAAAAUCUCUUUUGACCCUUGCCAUCAACCCAAUAUUUGAUGCGUCAUGCUUUUUUUUACCUAGCUUUUUCAGCUGUUCAAAGAUUACUUGGGCAGCUGUGUGCCCUCUGGCAGCACACCCAGCAGUCCUUCCAAUGACCCCCCGAGAACAGAAGUGCCCAGUGAAAUGGGCCGAAGUGGUGUUCACCUUCUCCAGGUAAGCAGCAUCUUGUGAAUCUGUCAAUGUCUGUAACAGUACAAAAGGGGAGAGCACAGGCCAAUAGAUUCAUCAAUACUAACAUUGUGUUCUCCCAGGGCCUCCAGGUGACAUGCCCAAAGACAACUGGAAUAAGGAGGGCCACGUGCUUCGUCAUAGUGGGGGUGAGCCCCACGGUGCCUCCCUGCUGCCUCCUCCGGACUCUGUGCCAGGCAGGGAACCCCUCCCAAAGCAUCAGUGGCACCGCACACACGGUGGAGAGGAUGAAGAGACUGCCACAACCCAAUAGCACCUCAGACUGCAGCGACGUCCCCGCAGUUAAGGGCUGCGAUGCCGUUUCGCCUCCAAGCAAAACCUGUGCAGACCCUUUGACUCUAUUCAUUCCUGCUUGGAAUUUGUCAAGCAACUGCAGUAAACCAACAGGUAAAAUAUAUAUAUUAAAUAUAUUUUAUAGUUUGUUUUAACAGAAACUGAGAGAAGAUAUACUAGAAAUUCUAGCUAAACUAAGAUAAGCUAGAUAAGCUUGCAUAACCUACAUUUUUAAGCUCAAAUUUGAACUAUUAAUAUGCUGCAUUUAAUCUAACCAUUUUUUUGUCAUUUUUU